UACGGGGGGGGCAAGCGUUGUUCCGGAAUUACUGGGGCGUUAAAGGGCUCGUAGGCGGCCAACUAAGUCAGACGUGAAAUCCCUCGGCUUAACCGGGGAACUGCGUCUGAUACUGGAUGGCUUGAGGUUGGGAGAGGGAUGCGGAAUUCCAGGGUGUAGCGGUGAAAUGCGUAGAUAUCUGGAGGAACACCGGUGGCGAAGGCGGCAUCCUGGACCGGCAUUGACGCUGAGGCGCGAAAGCUAGGGGAGCAAACGGG
rnacentral:rRNA from 1 species